GUGAACGCUGGCGGUAGGCCUAACACAUGCAAGUCGAACGGCAGCACAGUAAGAGCUUGCUCUUACGGGUGGCGAGUGGCGGACGGGUGAGGAAUACAUCGGAAUCUACUUUUUCGUGGGGGAUAACGUAGGGAAACUUACGCUAAUACCGCAUACGACCUACGGGUGAAAGCAGGGGAUCUUCGGACCUUGCGCGAUUGAAUGAGCCGAUGUCGGAUUAGCUAGUUGGCGGGGUAAAGGCCCACCAAGGCGACGAUCCGUAGCUGGUCUGAGAGGAUGAUCAGCCACACUGGAACUGAGACACGGUCCAGACUCCUACGGGAGGCAGCAGUGGGGAAUAUUGGACAAUGGGCGAAAGCCUGAUCCAGCCAUACCGCGUGGGUGAAGAAGGCCUUCGGGUUGUAAAGCCCUUUUGUCGGGAAAGAAAAGCAGCAGGUUAAUACCCCGCUGUUCUGACGGUACCCAAAGAAUAAGCACCGGCUAACUUCGUG
rnacentral:rRNA from 1 species